GCGCUCACUUCGGCAGUGUGUAUACUAAAAUUGGACCGAUACGGAGAAGAUGAGCAUGGCCCCCGAGCAAGAAUGACACUCAACUUCAUGAAGCGUCCAUAUUUUUC
ensembl:snRNA U6 U6 spliceosomal RNA